rnacentral:rRNA from 1 species
AGGAUUCCCCUAGUAACGGCGAGUGAAGAGGGAAAAGCCCAGCACCGAAGCCUGCAGCAGGUUUGCUGUUAGGCAAUGUGGUGUUUGGGUCGGCUCGUGGGACUACCACUCCACUCGAAGUCCAGCAUUGAGUAUGGUUACUGGAUUUGGCCCAGAGAGGGUGAAAGGCCCGUACGGGUGGAGUAUCAGACAUGUGAGGUGGUUCACCAGGUCGACCUUAGAGUCGGGUUGUUUGGGAAUGCAGCCCAAAGAGGGUGGUAAACUCCAUCCAAGGCUAAAUACAAGCACGAGUCCGAUAGCGAACAAGUACCGUGAGGGAAAGUUGAAAAGUACUCUGAAGAGAGAGUAAACAGUACGUGAAACCGCAUGCAGGUAAACGGGUGGCGUCAAGCUGCAAGCCCGGAGAAUUCAGUCGGCUAGGUUGUUGUGUAUGUGCCUGGCGCAUCCAUCAGUCAGAGUAUGAUAGGGUAGUCCACUAGUAAACAGUGGGCCUGUCCGCAAGGUCAGGAUAUGUGUACCGGGUGGGUGCCGGAGCAUGCUAUCCGUCUGAGGACUGUCUAGCCGGUGCACUUUCUCCGUGGUCAACACCACGACCGGUGGUAUUGCCAGUCUACUGUGUCCAAGUCGCAUUUGGUAGGUCCUUGUGGCCAACCGAGUGCGAUCACAGGCAAACUCAGUGAACGGCGUGAGGGUGCUUCGGCACUUUCAUGUGUUAUCGGCUACUGGUUGUCAACGGGCCUGCUCUGUGUUUGUUGUAACCGACACGGAGUGGUCUGGUGGGGCAUGGUGGUAAGAAUAACUGUGCAAGGCACUGGGGUUAUCGGCCUCAAAUGCGUCCUGCGUCCACGUUACAAGUGUGUGUGUGUAGGUAUUGCGUCGCUGCUGCCUGCUCGGUGCUGGGUGUGAUUGGCGUGUCGCCUGCGCAAAGUAGGCCCGUCAAUGGCUCGGUUCGAGGUGGGUAGUUGGUGGCGUUGUCGACRGCGUAGGGCGUGGUGGGCCUAAUAGUCGGUGGUGUHGU